AUGACUCAGUCUGAAUCCCGUGAAAAGAGUCCAAGUAAUCCACUUCUACUUAUUUUAUUUUACUUUAUUUUUUAAGAGAUUUGCAUGACUGUCCAUAUUGAAGAAAUAAGAGAGUUGUGGGAGAGAGCAGGAGCCACAAUGGCCUGUCCUCAUUUUAGAAUUGUGGCUGAAGAUCUGUAGUUGGAGCCUGUCUGAGCUGGAGGAGCCAGGUGAGAGACAAGUUGCAAGGUUGAUUCCAGUCAAUGGGAAGGAGAGUUCAAGCCCUCAGCUCUUAUUAAGUGGUAUGAUGCAGGAUUUGGUGCUCUCCCCACUCCUAUUCAACAUCUAUAUGAGGCCCCAGGGUGAGCUCAUCCAUUGCCACGGAGUGAGAUCAUUAGCAUGCUGACAAUACUUAACUAUAUGUGUUUGACCCUGGCAAAUUAAAUGAUGCGUUGGAAGGUCUGGAUAUGGAAAAACAGGCUUCAGCUGAACCCUGGUGAGACUGAGUGACUUUUGGUUUUGCAGCCUGCCAGUUCCAAGAUUAUUCUACCUUUGAUGCUGGAUGAAGUUGCACUGCCCCAGAUAGGCCCAGUGUGCAAUAUGGGGGUCCUCCUGGAUUCGCAACUCUUGCUCGAAGAGUAGUGGCAGAUAUGUCUAGGAGGGCCAUUGAAUAGCUUUCUGUUAUUCACCAGUUGUGCCUGUUCCUGGAUUGGAGAGUUCUGCCACUCAUGCCAUAGUCAUCUUCUGAUUGGAAAACUCUAAUGUGAUGUACUUGAAGAGGGUCCAGAAGAGUGUGAUGCAGGCAGUUAUGUGUGUGCUUCUAGAACAACACAUUUCAUGUGUCUCAGCCAGUCCCUCCUAGAGUCCCCCCUAAAGCCCCCCUGGGGUGAAAUCCAGCAGGUUCUGACAGGUUCUGGAGAACCGGCAGCGGAAAUUUUGAGCAGUUCGGAGAACUGGCAAAUAUCACUUCUGGCUGGCCUCAGAGUGGGCUGGGAAUGGAGAUUUUGCAGUAUCCUUCCCCUGCCACGCCCACCAAGCCACGCCCACCAAGCCACACCACACCCACCAAGCCACGCCCACAGAAUCGGUAGUAAAAAAACUUGGAUUUCACCACUGCCCUAAAGGCCCCUGGAUGACAACAGCCACACCCUCACCCUUACUCUGAAGUUGCAGUUUAUGUCUCACUUGAAACUCCGAAGGGCAUUUUUCUGUGAGAGGACACCCCCUCUUUUCUGGCCACUGUGACUUGUUCAACAAGCUAUGAUUAAAACAAACCAUGGCUUAACCUGAUCCCUGAAUCCACUCAAUAUCUCUAUCUAAAUUAGAAGUUCCUGUAUUUUAUCCAGCAUUUCUUGAGGUAAGAGUCGGAAACAGAAACAAUACAGAAGAAAACAGCUAAUGUGCUGGUAAUCUUUUUUUCUUACAUCAGCAUUUCCCAGCUCAGUUCUUUCCAGAGAUAUUGAACUGUAAGCCUCAUAAUCCCCAAUCAGCCCUGUUGACUGGGGAUUAGGGAAACAGUAGUCGGAACCUCUGGAAGGCACACAAUUGGUCUAAAUUGCCAUUCAACCAUCCUAGAGACAGACGGCAAAGUGAGAUCAGGAAGAGGAGAGAUCAAAAUCGUAGCAGGGGGCCCUACUGAAAUGGGACACUUUGCUUCUGCGCAGCUGGAGUCAAAGAGGCCACAGAAUACUUUCAAACAAAGACCAGCUCAUCCAAUCAAAGACCAGAGGAGAGAGAGAGAGAGAGAAGAAAAGAAAAGAAAAAAAUUGUAGCUGUUUUCAUCUCACUUUGCUCUCUGUAGAAGAACUCUCAAAAGAAAAGGAGGUCCUUCAAAGGGAAAGGUGGCCUGAUAGGCUUUGCACUUCUCUCUUCUAGUAAUUGCUGGAUUUUUUUUUUCUCUGCAUAUGGGCAGAGAAAUGCAGACGAUGAGAAAUAAGGAGAUGAACCAUAGAAAAAAAGCAGUUUUCAGAAGCUGCAAAGGCCACAGAAGAGCAUUCUCUGAAGCUGCUGCAAGAAUGAAAGCCUCCUCCGAUCCAGAGUUGCCACAAGGGCCUGUCAACAGAAAAAGAACACCGCUUGUAGGGAAGCAGCUUGCAACAGAUCCUGGGAAUCACAUACACAAUUGGACUAUAUUUUUUAUUUUAAAAAUAUGAAUAUAUAAAGAAUUACUUCUCUUU